rnacentral:rRNA from 1 species
UACGUAGGGUGCUAGCGUUGUUCGGAAUCAUUGGGCGUAAAGCGCGUGCAGGCUGUUAGAUAAGUCAGAUGUGAAAUCCCUGGGCUCAACCGAGGAAGUGCAUUUGAAACUAUCUAGCUGGAAGAUGGUAGAGGAAGGUGGAAUUCCAAGUGUAGAGGUGAAAUUCGUAGAUAUUUGGAGGAAUACCGGUGGCGAAGGCGGCCUUCUGGACCAUUCUUGACGCUGAGACGCGAAAGCGUGGGUAGCAAACAGG